rnacentral:lncRNA from 1 species
CACCCAAUAAUAAUAUUAUGGUAAAAGGGAUGAUCAUUAGUCAAAAUGUAGAUAAUGGCAGCUAAAUUUGUUUUAAUAAGAAGUGGUUUGAUAUUGCGAGUCGUUGCAAUUGUCAGUCCUUGUCUUAACGCUAGCAACUUAGCCAUAGUGGGGGUGGUGUGGAGCAUGUGCUGGUAGUACCGAAGGACCCAAUUCCCAAUAUGGUAUCUAAAGGCCUCUCCAAGUCCAUCUGCACUAAGGUUGGCAGCAACUGACUCAUCUGUGUUCAGCUUUAGGUGGCCAGGUUUAGAAGGAUCCUAUUUGAUGUUAAUGAUAAUUUGCGGUGUGCUUGCAGUGCUAUUGUCUCCGAAAAGAAGGAUGAAUUUCGAUGCCAAAGCAAGGGCAUUUUGGACAUAGAUGAGAUUAUUUUUGUUGCUGAAAGUGUUAGUCAUUUUUGGCUAGUCAAAUAACCUAGAGGGAGUGUCAAAAUUGAGCUUCCCAGAGAAGCCAGGUGUUGAAAGGCUUCCCCCUGAGGCUCUUUGACAAAUUGAACCAGUUGUUGGAGUUGAUGGUUUCCCAGGCAUUAGGAGGUUUGUAGAUGCCUUCGUUUGCCAGGUUAGUACAGAAAUGUGCAGCAUUAUGGCACAGGAAAAUUAUGUGGAUGGUAGUUUCUUCUUGAUUAGUACACACCUGAAAUUGGGUUGGGAUGUUGAGAUCAAUGUGAUUAAAAUAGUUGUUGCUAGGAAUUCUGUUAGGGGAAUUCUGUGAUUAACCAGAGGAAGGGUUUCACUUUGUUAGGGGCUAUGGCUUUCCACACAAGGUUAAAUCUUUGGUCUGGGUAUUUAACUGGUCUAGUUCCC